GGGUCAGUAGGUUGGUCGUGCCACCGGUACGUACUGGUCUCACUGAUUCCUCCUUCCUGAAUAACCGUAAUGCCAUUAAUUUGGUGUUGCGGGGAAACAGGACUGUUACUUUGAAAAAAUUAGAGUGUUUAAAGCAAGCUAACGCUUGAAUACGUUAGCAUGGAAUAAUGAAAUAGGACGAUCGAUCCUAUUUUGUUGGUUUCUAGGAUUGACGUA
rnacentral:rRNA from 1 species